rnacentral:rRNA from 1 species
AGUGAACGCUGGCGGUAGGCCUAACACAUGCAAGUCGAACGGCAGCACAGUAAGAGCUUGCUCUUACGGGUGGCGAGUGGCGUACGGGUGAGGAAUACAACGUAAUCUACUUUUUCGUGGGGGUUAACGUAGGGAAACUUACGCUAAUACCGCAUACGACCUACGGGUGAAAGCAGUGGAUCUUCGGACCUUGCGCGAUUGAAUGAGCCGAUGUCGGAUUAGCUAGUUGGCGGGGUAAAGGCCCACCAAGGCGACGAUCCGUAGCUGGUCUGAGAGGAUGGUCGGCCACACUGGAACUGGACCACGGUCCAGACGCCUACGAGAGGCAGCAGUGGGGAAUAUUGGACAGUGGGCGCGAGCCUGGUCCAGCCAUACCGCGUGGGUGGAGAAGGCCUUCGGGUUGUGAAGCCCUUUUGUUGGGAAAGAAAAGCAGCAGGUUAAUACCCCGCUGUUCUGACGGUACCCAAAGAAUAAGCACCGGCUAACUUCGUG